CACAUUUUCAGUUCAUGAGGUGAUGAAAGUCCAUAUUUCAUUUAACCUAGAGAAAGUGGUGACCGAGCAGCAGAACGCCCCCUAGGCCAGUAACCUCCUACACAGACCUCACUUCCGGCUCCCGGAAGUGCCACGGUGGCAGUUGGGAGCAGCCAGGGAAUCCAGACAGAUGGGUGAGGCUACAAUCAGAGACACUGAACUCAGCUGCUCCUUCCUCAGCAUGUAGUCCAAGGCUCUGGAGUCAAAGCUGGAGGGGAGCUGGAAGGGAGAUGGAAGGGAAUGCAGAGGAGCUGCUUGGAUCCAGGGUGCUGCUGCUGUCGCUGCUGCUGCUGCUCUAAAACCAUCAGACAAUGCUUCCAGGGCACUGAGGAGCUGCCUCCCCCACCUCCAGCUCCCGGACAUGAGCAGAGACCCGCUCAUGGAGCUAGGAACGGAGCUCCUGUGGCUGCUGCUGCCCCACAGCCAAGCAUCUGACAUCCCUGCCAGGGAGGUGAGCAGCAGCCUCCCCCACCUUCAGCUCCUGGACAAGAGCAGGGAGAAGCUCAUGGCCCUGGGACCCCAGCUGCUGACUCAGUGCAUCCUGAGCAUGCUGAUGGACAGGAACAACAGGCUUGACAACACAGGCUUGCUGCUGGAGGGACUAGCCCAGUUGCCACUCUGUCUCAGACUCCAGCUCAGCCUCAAGGAGCUCCACAUCUCAGAGUGAGUCCAUCUCAGAAGAUGAAGCCAGUGUUGCUACACAUGGAAUGCGGAAUGUUCUUCUUGGUUAACAUCAGUGGGUGUAGAAAAUUACUAAAACUAAUGAAAGAUGAUUAUAAAAGAAAAUGGAGUGUGAAUUUUAUUGUAAAACUUAGUGGUUUCAUCUUGAAGAUCCAUGUAAGAGUUACAAAGAUGUGAAACUUUUUGCAUUUCAUGUAUCUGUUCAGCAUGAUUGAGUCUACUCCUGUGUUUAGAAUUUUUUAGUAUAAUUUAUUGUAAACAGCAGUUCAAAAUUCAGCUUGUUGGUCAAAAUUUUCACUUAAGUCUUUGAUGAAAAGCAAACAGAAUGGUAUAUUCAGAGGUGCUGUCAUAAUCAGCCUGGAGUGGUGAAACCUGGGACAGUGGGGUUGACUAAAGUAAGACAUCAAGACAGUUAUACUACAGAGUUGUUCUGGUUUGCCCUAGAAGUAUGCCAUAAUCAGAAUGAUCGUUCUCCUCGCGUCAUUCCUGGGCUUCAGCCUCUGACUAAGUAACUAUAUUAAGCACUAUCUCUUUUAAAUGGAGUAUUUAACCUGCUCUUGUUUUAUGUGAUUGUUAGUAACAUGUAUUCUAGCUAUGAUGUUACAGUGCCUUAAUACUAGCAAGGACAUAGAGGCUUAUUCUAGAAAUGAUUUUGAAGCAACCUACAACCUGACACAAAACAAAAACAUUUGAAAAUGUACUUUAGCAGACUAGGUAAUCAAUUGUAUACAUAAUCCUGAGUCCUGCAGGCCUGGAACUCUUUUGGUAGAAUGUGCUGACCAGUGCCGCUGAGAAAUACCUGCCUCUGCCUCCUGGUCCUGGCAUUACAGAUGUGCAUGACCACCUACUUACAUUUCAUUUUAACUUCAUAUUGUUAACUGCAAUGAUCUCUUGUAAUCAUGCCCUUUACAUUUCUGGGAGGCUAGGGUCUUGAUACAUCAACUUGCCAAAAGACAGAAUAACUUUACUUGACAGAAAAAUCUAAUGGCAAGUAGUAUGAAGAAAAGCUGCUUUAUAACAUUGAAGUACAUGAAAGAAAGUUGGACAUGGUUGUGCACACCUCCAAACCAGCUCCUUGGAGAUAGAGGCAGAAGUUCAGGAGUUCAAAGUUAGUGCAGGCAUCAUAGUAAAGUUGAGGCCAGCCUGGACUAUAUGCCUGAGACCUUGUUUCUACAUUUGAAAGAAAAACCACAAAUAGUUUAACCUAACAGUUGAAGAUAGUCAGAAAUAAAGCUCAUUGUAUCCAUUCACAAUACAGUAGUUCACAAAGUUGUUUUAAUCAUUGCACAUUACGAAAGUUGUAUUGAUAAAACAUGAAUGAAAAUACUAAAAUGAUGUAAGUUAAAGUGUAGGAGAAAAAAAGUAACACAAAUUAUUGGCAUUGCAGAUUAAAUAAAUCAUAUUAAUUGAUUAUGCAACAAUAACUAAUAUUAAAACUAUAAUUUGGCAUUAGAUAAUAAAUAUUUAACUCUCACUACUGAUGAUUAAAUAGUGAACCUGUAAUAACAUCAAGGCUGCUUGGUGAGAACUGAAAGUAGUUUCAGAUUGCAUUAGGUAAUUGGGUGAGCCUUUAAAGGGUGCUUUGUUAGAAUCUAGUUGUAUGCUGAGAACAUUUGCAUGUUAGGUUUCUUAUACAUAUUAUUUUUAUUUUAGUAGAUUAUUUUAGCAGAUUAUACUAGUAGACUAUAGGGUAAUUCAGAUUUUGUGUUUUUUGUGUUAUAUCAUGAAACAGGAGUUUCAUGACUGCAGUUGUGAAACGCUGCUAUAGUGAGUCCCCUUACCUUUUCCUUAUAAUAGUGUAGUAAAAUUAUUUUUACGUUUUUUGGUUGAGAGAUUUUAUUUCUGUGUUUAUAAAAGUGAUUUUUCUACUUCUAAUGUAAUUUUAUUAUAGUAAUUAUAAAAUAUUUUUUUCAAUCAGUGAGCAAUUUUAAGCUGCCUAUUCCAAGAUUAGGAAAGGCACAGAUGAAUUGGCGGGUACCCACGUAUCAACCUGUAAAUAUUUUGUAAUUAGAUGAAUUUAGUUAACCAACAUAGAAUGUUUUCAUGGAAAACAUUCAGAAUGAUGGGGCCGUACACUCCUGGAUUAAAUCCUGUACUUUCUUGAUUGAUAAUUUUCCUGACCUAAGUAAUAACAUUAGUAGUCUUUUAGUAAUUACUUGUCAGUACACUUGUAAAAGGUGCAUGUAAUCACACAAACCCUUUCCAGCCUCCUAGAAAGAGAUGUAUUGUGUCUUCUUUCAUAAAUGUAAAUAUUCCAGUCUGUGACAUGUAAAUGUAUCCUAUGGUAGUCUUUCACAAAGUGUUUUUUUUUGUGUAAACACCAUGACAAAUCAGUACUUUUGGCAGAGAUGCGGAUUAUAAGGACUGAUGCAGUACCUUCUCCCUGCAGUGCAAGCUGUAGUCCACCCCUAGAGCAUAGAUGGUCUCUAGUGCAGUCUUCACUGGUAGCGCUUUUACCUCUUUGUUUUGCUUUUGGUUUUAUCAUUUUAACACAUCUGUGGCCCUAUCGUUAACAAAAGCUGCCAAUGAUUGCUAAUUUCUCUUCUUUUUCAUACUUUUUCUAUUUUUAUAAACUGACUAUAGACUUUAACCUGGAGAGAUAGGAAUUAGACAUCUGAAGUAAGCAAAAUGUAUUUUAAGUUGCAGUGUGUCUCGACAGUUAUGAAUCCCAUGUUUAUCCACCAAAGAAAUCUUAGAGUUUCACAAUCAGCAAGGGGGUAAUUUUCAUUAUACCCUAUUUUAUAUUCAGAGACCAUGCAGGAGUAGUUUUAAACUUGACAUGGAGACAAAUCUGUCCUGUUUGUAAUGCUCUUGCCUCGGCUUCCCAGCUGCUGGAAGCAUAUGUGUCACCCAUGGGUCCAGCUGAAUAUUUUGCUUAGAAAUGUGCCAAAGAAGCCUCUUGCUAAAAAAAUUAAUAUUUAAAUUAUUCUCGCCAAUAUAAAAACAUAAAUGUACAUUGUAAAUUGACUUCAAAUAUGAGCAAUGUGUGUUGAUAUAAAUAAUAAGUAAGGUAGUCCUCAUUAGGACAAGACAGUACUGCAAUUUAAUUCUAGCAGACACUUGAAAUACAGAGUUUAAUAAAGACUCAAGAAAAGGCUGUUUGCUGGAAUGUUACUUAAAAUAAAUCUUUAAAUGCAGUAAUGUAUAAUAGAAGUCAUUGGCAAGGGAAUCCAGUGAGAUAAUAAUGCCCUGUACAGUAAUAAGGAAUUAUCUUAAAUUGAUUCACCAAAUUUUCUACUACUGCUGUCUGAAAACUUUAUCAGUAAGUUUAUUACUGCCAUUUUUAUUAUUGAGUCCUCCCUGCUAUUCCGUUGCUCCCUACAAAGCAGAGCAAGUUAGCUGUAGGCUUUCUUGAAGUCUUGCUCUUCCCAGAGUUCCUAUUGGAAAGUUGUUCUUUUUGUCCUAGUCUUAGUGAAUGUUUACCUUUUGGUUGCCUUCUUAAAAAAAUACAAAUCAAGUUUUAGUAGUAGCUAUUCAUGGAAAAAACAAAGGUUAUUCUUUAAGUUUCCAUGUGAGUGCUUUUAGAUACAACUUUACCAGUAAAUGUAUAUGUAUAAGUCAUUAUGUGAUCAUUUGAAGGUGUUUUGAUAGAAUUCAGUUGUAUUUUGAUAAUAUUUGCAUGUUAGCUUUCUUAUAAUACAUUAUUUUUAUUUUAAUAUUUUAUUGUAGGAGAUUAUAUAAGUAGACUAUAUUGUAAUUCAGGUUUUGUGUGUGUUUAUGUUAUUUCAUGAAACAAGAGUUUCAUGACUGCAGUUGUGAAACGCUGCUAUAGAAAGUCCCCUUACCUUUUCCUCAGAAUAGUGAAGUAAGAUAAUUUUUUCUUCUAUUUUACUUAGAAAUUUUAUUUCUGUUUUUACAGAAGUAACACUUCCACUUCUAAUGUAAUUUUAUAAUAGUAUUUAUAAAGUCUUUUUUUGUUCACCCAAGCAUCACCUUUAAGCGGCCUACUCCAAUAUUAGCAAAGGCAUAGAUGACUUGGGAGUCCCCAGUUGUCAAACUGUAAAUGUUUUGUAAUUAAAUGUCUAUAGUUAAGCAACACAGAAUGUUUUCAUGGAAAACAUUCAGAAUGAUGGGACCGUAUUCUCCUGGUUUAAAUCCUGUACUCUCUUUAUAGAUAAUUAUCUUGAUCUCAAUAAUAACUUGAGUAGCCUUUUAGGAAUUACUUGUAAAUAGCCUUUAAUAGAGCAUCUAACUAUAGUUACCCCUUGCAGGAUCCUAGAAAGGAGGACUGAUGUUUCACCUGUUUCAACACAGUGUUUACUAUGACUUUUUAUGCAUAUAUAUAUAUAUAUACAUAUUAUGUAAAUUCUGUGCCAAGUCAGACUUUUUGCCAGAAAUGAGGAUUUAGACAUAGAUCCAGGGUGUUGUGCAUGCUGAUCAAGCUUCAUUCUAUGCUUAAUAUUGAUAUCUUUUAGUGAAAUCCUCAUUGGUAUCUUUCUUAGCUUUUUUUUGGUUGUUUGCUUUAUUCUUUCUUUCUUACAUAUUUUUGACCUUAUCCUUUACACGAGCUGCCAAUGAUUGCUAUUUUUUCUUCCUUUUCAUACUUUUUCUUUAAAAAUCUGAUUAUAGAUAAUAAUUUUAUGAGACAGGAAUUGGUAAUCUAGAAAUAUGAUCAUCUUCUGAAGUCAGCAUAUUACAUCAGUGAGGAAGAUGGCCAUCUAAGAAAAUCGUUACGGAGUUUGCCUUUGACAUGGCAGGACCAGCCAUUUGGACAAGAAACAUCACUUGCCUGGACUGCUUGACAGCAUACUAAACUAACUGGACAAGCAAGUUACAAAUAAAAUUGACUGCUGACCUUGCCAAGGGGCAGGAUGGUUCUUCAUUAACCUGCUUUAUCAAAAAGUCUGCCAGAUAUUCUGGGCCUAUAAGCUGAAGAAAGAUUCCCCAAAUUUGGAUAGCCUUGGUAGACUUUCUAGGCAUCAAGAUGUCUCUGUCAAUUAUUUUGUUUAUAUAUUAUCCUUCUGGAGUCUUUUGUGUUGUUGACGACUGAAAAUAAUGUUUAUGCAUUUCCUUAGUUAAGGUAAUAAAUAAGUUGCAUAUAAAGCUUUAAACUAACAAAGAUAGGAAAGAUGAUAGAAUAUUUUCUUUAAAUUCUUCAAAUGUUAUUGGACUAACCAUUGUUAUCUAUAGUUUUUGCUUAUUAGCUCUUGUAGUGUGUAAUUGUGCUAUGUUAAAAUUAACCUUCAUUGUUUUUCCAGACAGAAAGAGGAGAUGAUGUGGGAUGCCCUAUUGUAUGAUGUGAAUACAUGUUUCUCUUCUUGGUUGAUGAAUAAAGCUGUGCCAGCCAAUGGUCAGGCAGGAUAAAGCCAGGGAGAACAUACAGGGAUUCGAACCAGAGUAGGGGAAUUCUGAGAGAGGAACAGAGAAUGAGUCUCCAGAUAGUCUCCAUGUAGCUCUAGGAAGUCAGGUUGGCUGAAUAGUCUCUGUUAAGGUAACCUCCCUGGAGAUUUACUGAUAAAUAGAAAUGGGUUAGUUAUUAGAGAUAGGUAGCCACCAAUUAGCCUAUACCAAAGGACAAAGAGAUUAUAAUUUAAAUAACCCUCUGUGUGUUUACUUGGGACUGAAGUGUGGCAGAAUCAACAUGAACACUAACUUCUGUCUACACAGAAGUGGAAAAAUUACUGAGUUGCUUUGUUUUAUGAACAUGGUUGGCAGAGAAUCCCUGUUCUCACAGUUCACAUGGUCAACAAUAUGUUCCUGAGAAACAGUAUUGACCCCAGUAGUCAUUGUCUAAAUGUCAUAUGCAAACAUGUGUUGGGGAUUUUUUUUUGCACCCUUGCCCAAUUGUUUUUUGCAAGUAACAAAACAAUGGGAAAGAGUUUCAACAUAACCAGCCUUAGCUUUUCGUAAAUUUGGGGGUUAAGUACGAACAAAUCUGGCUGAAGAAAUGUUACUUUUAUUUUGGUCAAAUUAUUAUGUAUGCUCUGACUUCUUUAAUUUUCAUUACCUAAAAUCUAUGUGUUCCACAUGGCUGUAUAAGUAUAUACAUAAUUAAAAUGUAACUCAGAAAUAUGAAUUGUUAUUGGAGUUUGCUAUUUGCAAAAAGAUUUACUCCUAUUGUAUCAAGCUCAUGUUACCUUGUAAAGACAAAUAUUCUAUGAAGAAUGUUUAAGCUAUUCAAAUUCUUGUGCCUCCUUACCCAUAAGACAUGAAAAAUUAUGAUCUUAUAUUAACUAUGUAUACCCUCAUUAAUUUUGCCUUAAACAUCAUGCAUUGUUUUAUUAGCCACAAAAAAAUCUUAGAGAAAUUCAUAAAACAAGUAAUAAACUAUGUGAGCAUACCUUUUCAAAA